CACGUAGGGGGCAAGCGUUGUCCGGAUUUAUUGGGCGUAAAGAGCUCGUAGGCGGUUCGGUAAGUCGGGUGUGAAACCUCCAGGCUCAACCUGGAGACGCCACCCGAUACUGCUGUGACUCGAGUCCGGUAGGGGAGCGUGGAAUUCCUGGUGUAGCGGUGAAAUGCGCAGAUAUCAGGAGGAACACCAGCGGCGAAGGCGGCGCUCUGGGCCGGAACUGACGCUGAGGCGCGACAGCGUGGGGAGCAAACAGG
rnacentral:rRNA from 1 species